rnacentral:rRNA from 1 species
AACUACCUGUGCACUGCGAAUGCCAUAUAGGAUUAAGUUUGAUCAUGGCUCAGAUCGAACGCUGUAGUGCAGAUGCCUAACACAUGCAAGUCGAGCGGAUGACGGGAGCUUGCUCCUUGAUUCAGCGGCGGACGGGUGAGUAAUGCCUAGGAAUCUGCCUGGUAGUGGGGGACAACGUAUCGAAAGGAACGCUAAUACCGCAUACGUCCUACGAGGAGAAAGCAGGGUGACCUUCGUGGCCUUGACUGCUAUCAGAUGUGGCCUAAGUGUCGGAUUAGCUACGUUAGNGUGAGUGUAAUGGCUCACCAAAGUGCGACAGAUCCGUACACUUGGUCUUUGACGAAGGGAUUUGAAUUCCAUGGUUCAACACCCUUGGGAAACCUGAAGAAACAACGUGUCCUAAGGAACUUCACUAACUGUNGUGGAAUNUGGCAAGCCAAGUUUGGUGGGGCAAUAUUUUUGGAACCAAUUGGGGGCUGGAAAUAUGGUCCCUUGAAUACCCAAGACCAAUUGGCACUGCNGUUAGUUNGUUUGAACAAGAAANANGUGUUCUUUCCAGGUGCAAUUUAGUUAAAAUUGUCCUGACCAUUUUNUGANACNGGGAUCUUAGGAGNGCAACGNUGAAACACACGGUNGNGUCCCCAACGGUAUANCAACGGUUUUACACAUUAAACCNCUUUUUGGACUUUGGGUAUANUUAUUUAGGAACANCGANGUAUAUAACCCCCAGGAAAUCCANGGAACAAUUAACAACUGGCCAUCACCNGGGAACUUAAAAUACCUUUCCCUUAAGGAAAGACCACANGCGCGCAANAGAUCCACGCCUGUGUUAACNAUUAACCCAAUGNCACGAGGGGAGUGUAGGCACA